UACGGAGGAUCCAAGCGUUAUCCGGAAUCAUUGGGUUUAAAGGGUCCGUAGGCGGUUUUGUAAGUCAGUGGUGAAAGCCCAUCGCUCAACGGUGGAACGGCCAUUGAUACUGCAAGACUUGAAUUAUUAGGAAGUAACUAGAAUAUGUAGUGUAGCGGUGAAAUGCUUAGAGAUUACAUGGAAUACCAAUUGCGAAGGCAGGUUACUACUAAUAUAUUGACGCUGAUGGACGAAAGCGUGGGGAGCGAACAGG
rnacentral:rRNA from 2 species